UGUUUGAAGGGCGCUCACCCAAGAAGCCCAGAAACCAAAGCUCCCCUGUAAUACUGGAGGUUUUCCCCUUCAGGAUUGAAGAUAUCAUUCCAGCGGAUCUACCUAUUCUCGAAGAAUCCGGACAGAGUCCGCGUACAAUCUCCCUCGCAGUCGGAGAGACGCUUUACCUCCUUGCCUAGACGCGUCACCUCAACACAAGCACACCGGUAAUGUUUCGAGCCCCCAGGAAUGACGUCGGCUUUGUGGCUCUAGCGAGAAGCGAAGAGGCCAGAUUGUGUUGGUGUCCCGACUGGAACAUCUCUGCCUCAACCCGGAAGUGGCCAAGUUCAUGGACCCAUUCAUGGGCUACUGGCGGUGUUACGUCCGCAAACUCCUUUUUACCAGUGGCUGGAGGAGGAAGCCGCAUGCGGCCAGUACAACCGCCAGGACGAUCACCACGCUAACGAUAAUCCUUGUCCUCCGUUUGGAGCCUGAAUCUGCCCAGGGCUUCGAAUAUUCAAAGUAACCCUUUUAGCUGCCUUAAUGCGUUACUACCGAACAACUACAGCGGAUAAAAGCAUACGAAAUGGGGGGCGAAGGUCAUCUGAACGGCAGAGCAGCC